AGCGAAUACCGCAUAAUGUCGCAAGACCAAAGUGGGGGACCUUCGGGCCUCAUGCCAUCAGAUGUGCCCAGAUGGGAUUAGCUAGUAGGUGGGGUAACGGCUCACCUAGGCGACGAUCCCUAGCUGGUCUGAGAGGAUGACCAGCCACACUGGAACUGAGACACGGUCCAGACUCCUACGGGAGGCAGCAGUGGGGAAUAUUGCACAAUGGGCGCAAGCCUGAUGCAGCCAUGCCGCGUGUGUGAAGAAGGCCUUCGGGUUGUAA
rnacentral:rRNA from 1 species